AAAUCCGGUGUGUCCGAAGAUUGUCUCAGUGACCUUUUGCGUUGAUAUCCUGUGCCGAAGAAUUGCCCGCUCAAUAACUCUCCUAAAUUGAAUGUGCAGAUGAAAUCUGCCAUCAACAAAGGUGGAAAGAAAAGGGAUGAGAGACUGACUGCAACAAGGGGUGCUUUGAUGGUGGUUGGUAGGACGCUCUUGACCUUGCUUUUGAAACCGGUUAAGGAUGAGUAGUACUUACUUCUCAUCGAAAUGUUGAGUAAUGCAAUAUUUGUUUUAAGCAAAAUACACCAUUUAGGUUCAGUAUAUAGAAGUUCAGCCGCGUUAAGCCUUUCGCUGGUCUCAAAUGAAAUGCAGCCUUGUAUGAAGGAAGUGCUCGUUGAUGCUUCUUUGCACUCUUGUUUAUAUGGAGAAGAUUUGGCUGAUAGGCUCAAAUCAAUCAGAUUAGCUGCAGAUUAGUGGCCGAGUUAAAGUCAGGUGCAUCCGGAACAAGGCUUUUAUAGCAUACAAAUUUAAACUCGACCGUCCCACUUCGUUCCCGGAAGUUGCAAGGCUGAAGUGGGUGAAAGUCAUUGUACCCUCAAAAGAGGGAAUACAGGAAGGUUCGAGAGGAAAGGGGGUGGAGUUGUGUCCCCAGGAAAAAAUAGUAAGUACUUUUGUUGAAAGAUUGCACGAGUUUCGGGACAUUUGGAACUCUAGAACUCAAGAUGCACAGAUUCUACCUUGGUUAGAUGGAUAUAAAAUUCCAUUUGCGAGGCCAGUUAUACAGGACUUGAUUACGACAGAUCCUGUUUGGUCCCAACAAGAAAAAGAUUCAAUUUGUAAUGUGGUCAAACACCUGUUAGAGAUAGGUGCAAUUGCAGUUUGCGAACCUUGUAAGAAUCAAUUUAUUUUACAGAUCUUUUUGGUUUCAAAAUUGGAUGGUUCGGUUUGAUUAGUUUUAAAUUUAAAGAAACUGAAUGCUUUUAUUGACACUUGUCAUUUUAAACUGGAAGACAGAAAAUUAGUAGAAACACUCUUCACAAGGAAGUACUUUAUGACCACUCUGGACUUGAAAGAAGCUUACUUUCUAGUCCCAAUAAUUGAAAAUCAAAAGAAUUUUCUAAGAUUUUAUUUUGAUGCUCUCUGUUAUCAGUUUAACGUGUUACCCUUUGGUUUAUGCACCGCCCCGUGGGCCUUUACAGAAUUAAUGAAAUCUGUGGUUUCUUAUCUCCCUGCCAAGGCUUUUCCCUCAAUAGUUUAUUUAGAUAACUUUACUAUUUGGUGAUAGUUAGCUAUCCUUAAAAAAUGUUCAAGUAACUUGCAACACACUGAUUAGGUUGGGUUAUGUUAUUAAUUAUAAGAAUGUUUUACAUCCUUCGAAAUCCCGUAAAUUUUUAGGUUUUGUUUUUUUUGAAUCCCACCACUUGUUUUUCUGAUGAGUAAGUAAGUUUUGCAAUUUGAACCAUUGCGAAAUAAGAGUCUUUGCCGAGCUUUGUGCUGUGCUAGUUUUCAGUUUGCCCAGCAGUUUGUUACAGUUGGGUAUAUACUAAGAAUUUUUGAGAGAAUCAAAUAUCUAGCCCUUCAAGACUCUGUCGAUAAUUAUGAUAUUUGGAUGAUAAUUCCUUGUAAUUUACGGAGGGAUUUUAUGUGAUGGCUAAAAAGUUUACAGAAUCCUGAAUGCCCUGUAAGGCAGCAAUGUUACAAACUUGAGAUUUUCUCAGAUGGUACUCCUUUGGGUUGGGGAAUUGUGCCAGAGGACUUUGGAGUCCUAGGGAAGCUCAGUUUCAUAUUAAUGCACUAGAAUUAACUGCGGCCUCAUUUGGUCUCUAAUGCUUCGCCUCGUAUUUGACUAACUGCGAGACACUUUUGAGGAUUGAUAACACAACUGCUAUUUUGUAUGUAAAUAGAAUAGGGUGAGUAAAAUUUCCUGUUUUAAACGAAAUUUCGAGGCGCCUUGGGGUUGGUGUGAAGAAAGGAGGUUAUGGGUUAAAGCAUCUUACAUUCGAUCUUCCGAUAAUUUUGAAGCGCAUAAGGAACCCACGAAUUUGAAUUUUGAUAGUGAAUGGUACCUUUCGGACAAUGCUUUUGCUAAAAUAACAAGCAAAUUUGGAUUCCCAUAAAUCGAACUGUUUGCUUCUCGCCUAAGUAAGAAAUGCGGAAAGUUUAUUUCCUAAUUUCCAGAUCCGGAGGCAUCUAAUGAAGACGCGUUUACUGUUUUUUGGAGCGACAGUUUCUUCUAUGUUUUCCCCCCGUUUUGCUUGUUGCCACUUGUUUUACGAAAAAUCAAGGCUGAUUGAGCUACAGGGAUCGCAGUAAUCCCUUACGGGCACAGCCAGCAUUGACAAAUUACCUUCUUCUUUUGACAGGAGAGGUCACCCUUUGUGGAAAUCCCUUACCCUGGCUGCAGGGAUUUUGUCAGGCAAGCAUUCCAGAAGAUUUGCUGGAUAUUUUUCUAUCAUCUGUUCAGAGCGCUACCUUGAGGCAUUUAAUACCUGCAUGCAUUUAAACUUUGGUGGAGCUUCUACGAAAGGAGGGGAGUGGAGUGUUAUUACUUCUCACCUAGGCUGUAUUAGAUUUCCUUACUAUUCAUUUUAGACAAGGCAAGUCCUAUGGCUCAUUGAGUUCUUUCAGUGCAGCACGGCCUUAUUUUUGGAUCAGAUUUAUUUAACAAUGCAAAUCUAACUAGGUUUUUUAAGGUGUUUAUAAUCUAAGGCCAAGUAAACCAAGAUAUAACAGCACUUGGGGCCCUAGUUAUGUCCCUGACUUUGUAAAAGGGUUACGUUCUAAUGACUUGUCAUUAAAGCAAUUAACUGUCAUUAAAACAAUUAAAUUAGUUUCUCCUACUGAAGUUAACGAUUGUACAUAGAGUCCAAACGCUCUCUCUUAUAGAAUUGGUCAACAUAAAAUCAUUUCCAGAUGGAUUAGAAAUUAGAAUAACGAAUCAAAUUAAGAUUUCAGCUAUAAAUAAGACUCGACCUGUUUUUUAAUUUUGCAUAAAUAUGAAGAUGUAAAUCUUUGUGUGGUUUCAAAUAUAUUAUUGCGAGGGCCAGUGCUUUAAGAGGCAGUGAAUCUCGUUUACUCAUUACAUUUAAAAAGCCUUGUAGGGCAGCAACUAUACCCAACAAAAGUAGAUGAAUAAAGAUAACUUUAGAAGAUAGUGGUGUCUACACUUUUAUUUUUACUGUUCACAGAACUCGACAUGCCUCAACAUCGUCUGCGUUUUGUAAAGGUGUUUCAAUUGAUAUGAUUGGAAAAACGGCAGAUUGCAAGUGCAGGCCUUUUUUGUUAAUGCCACAUUUGGGACAUGGAAUUGUUCAGAAGGUUUGUUUUCUCGGAUAGCCAUUUAUUUUGUAUUUGUACUCGAGGCUUUCAUAAACUUCCUGGAUUUCCUUAUAUAGCCGAAUAAAAUCGUUUUAUAACAAAUUUGCUGAGUUGCCUUUGAAAGUCUACGUAUAUUGAUUUCAUAGAAGAGGUGUAACAUAUAAUUCAAUGAUCAAACGAACUUACCUGGUAAGUGAAGUUCGAUCGUAAUUAUAUGUUACACCUCUUCGUAGAAAUCACCCAUUCCCGCCCAAUUUACUGUUCUGAACAGUACUAAAAUGCCCUUUGGCAAAUUUAUUAUAAACGGGCUUUAAAAUAGAAUGAGGUUAAGACCAUAGAUGGCGAAUAUACCGUCCAUGGUAAGUUAUUCCACAGUUUUUUGGCUCUGCUUUAAAGCUGUGGUGCCACCUAGCGACUAGAAGGGGGACUACGUAUAUUGAUUUCUACGAAGAGGUGUAAC